UACGUGCCAGCAGCCGCGGUAAUACGUAGGGUGCGAGCGUAUCCGGAAAUUAUUGGGCGUAAAGAGCUCGUAGGCGGUUUGUCGCGUCUGUCGUGAAAGUCCGGGGCUUAACCCCGGAUCUGCGGUGGGUACGGGCAGACUAGAGUGCAGUAGGGGAGACUGGAAUUCCUGGUGUAGCGGUGGAAUGCGCAGAUAUCAGGAGGAACACCGAUGGCGAAGGCAGGUCUCUGGGCUGUAACUGACGCUGAGGAGCGAAAGCAUGGGGAGCGAACAGGAUUAGAUACCCUGGUAGUCCAUGCCGUAAACGUUGGGCACUAGGUGUGGGGACCAUUCCACGGUUUCCGCGCCGCAGCUAACGCAUUAAGUGCCCCGCCUGGGGAGUACGGCCGCAAGGCUAAAACUCAAAGGAAUUGACGGGGGCCCGCACAAGCGGCGGAGCAUGCGGAUUAAUUCGAUGCAACGCGAAGAACCUUACCAAGGCUUGACAUGUUCUCGAUCGCCGUAGAGAUACGGUUUCCCCUUUGGGGCGGGUUCACAGGUGGUGCAUGGUUGUCGUCAGCUCGUGUCGUGAGAUGUUGGGUUAAGUCCCGCAACGAGCGCAACCCUCGUUCCAUGUUGCCAGCACGUAAUGGUGGGGACUCAUGGGAGACUGCCGGGGUCAACUCGGAGGAAGGUGAGGACGACGUCAAAUCAUCAUGCCCCUUAUGUCUUGGGCUUCACGCAUGCUACAAUGGCCGGUACAAUGGGUUGCGAUACUGUGAGGUGGAGCUAAUCCCAAAAAGCCGGUCUCAGUUCGGAUUGGGGUCUGCAACUCGACCCCAUGAAGUCGGAGUCGCUAGUAAUCGCAGAUCAGCAACGCUGCGGUGAAUACGUUCCCGGGCCUUGUACACACCGCCCGUCAAGUCACGAAAGUUGGUAACACCCGAAGCCGGUGGCCUAACCCUUGUGGGGGAGC
rnacentral:rRNA from 1 species